UCCCCCCCUCCCGUCAACACCCGCAUCCCUGCUCCUGCCUAUGUGGCAGACAAUAGCCUGGCUUGAACAGCUGCGCGGGGCGCGACAGCCUUUUAUUUCCACUUAAAAACUUCCCUGGUCCGCCCUCCCAAGCUGCUGUGAUUUAUUUUUGUCCCUGGGGUGGGGAAGAAGAAUUUUUGGGCUCUUGCACGGUGGCGUUGAUCGAGCACCCGGAGUGCUGGCGACCUCCCCGGUGCCCCCGAAUUCUCUCCGAUGUGAAAGGGGAGCCUCGGGGGGAGCCGAGCCCCCUUCCCUGCGAGGUUUCCUUCCCUCGGCUGGACAGCAAAGCAGAGAUUUCUUCCAGGGGGGACACAAAGAGCAGGGUUUGGCUGCCUGCACGUCACCAAGGCCAGCUGCUGCCUUUAAAGGAAGCGAGCCCUCAGCUCCUCUGCCUGGCUCCGGAGCCGUGUCCGACUGGUCCCAAGUUAUUGCACUUAAAAAAAAAUAAAAAGAGCCAAAAAAAAGAGCUUUGUUCCUCCUCUCCUGUCUCUCUGUUUCCACCAGCUAUCAGCUGGAGUUGAGCAAACCAGGGAGCGGGACCUGAAAUGGAUUCGGUCUGCCUGGAACAAAAAGCCGAGUGUCUUUUUUUUUUUCCUCUUUUCGCAGGAAAAAUGAGAGCGGCUGCGCUGAGAUAAAGCUGACAACCCUUUUGUUCUUCCCCUAGGUAUUCUGGUGAGUAAAACGUCACCUGCCAGCACACCCCGGGCUGUGCACGGUGGGGACGGGUUUGUGACCAGAUCUGGUUUGCCCUGCAGGAUGCGCCAGGACCUCGGUUUAGCGCAUCUCCCUAAGGAAACAACCCCAAAAGCCGGAGGGGAAAAAGGGAAAAGGGAGAAAAAUUGAAGCUUUACAUCCAGGUGACCCCAAAGCGUUAAGCUGGCGAUGUGGCGGUGAAAUAGAGUAACAGGAGGACGCAGAGGAAGGGAGAAGGGACUUGGCUCCCCUCUCCUAACGCUGCUGCCCUCUGGGGCUGCCCUGCGGGAAGGGAGAGGAAAGAAUGAUCCCCGUUUUCCAGAGUGCGGAGAGGGAUGACGUCUGAAAUAGCUCCUGGUGAGCAGGGAAGAGCUUGGCUUGGAGGAAAGCUCCUCAGCGCUCUGCCGUGAUUAUCAUCCAGCAGAUCUGAGCAAAUCCUGUGUCCUGGAAAUGUGCUGGUUGAACCCGCUGCUCCCCACGGAUAGCACCUCACAUUUUGACCUUGCAGGCUAUAACCCAGCUGGAGCAGCCGCCCGGCCAGAGGCAGCCAAGCAGCAAAGCCAGCUGGAGGUGGCUUCCCCCGUCUGCUCCCCACGGUGCUCAGCACGAGCCCCCAAAAUCAAAAGCAGCAGCCAAAAGGCAAGGCUGUCAAAUUGCUGGAAUCGGGGACCCCCCGGGUGGAUUGGUGACCUGCCACCAUGGUGAGCUGGGGUGGCCCUGUGACCAUGCCACACAGCCAGGGGAGGUGCGGGAGCUCUCCAGGGGCAGCUGGAAGGACAGAGACUUAGGGACAAGUAGUCUGGGCACCAGCAGGGUGAAGGACACCCCUAAUAAAAUGCAACAUCGUGUUUUG